GCAACAUCCGUCUACAAGUAUCAACAAGCCAAUUCUUGGGGAUGAUGUCCCAAAGGCUUCAGAUGUUGCACCCGAAGGGGGACCUUCUUUCCGCCCAAAGGGAAAGGGAAACAUGAAACCAUCUGAUGACGAUGAUGAGAAGAAGACCAAUGAAGGAAAGAGCAGCAAGUCUGGUGGUGUGGAUGAUGCCUAAUGAAGCAGCCGUCGAAUAAUAAAAUUAAUGUUGUCUUGAAAUAAAGUUGUUGUUGUGUCUUUCCAUGCUCAUUUCAUAUUCCUAGUGUUUGUUGUUUAAUUUGGUCAAGCGUCGGUCAUGUUUGUUGUUGUGUCUUAAACCUAAAUAAUGGAAUGUUUAUUUGCUAAUAUAUGGAAAACUAUGAUGCAUAUAUUAUUUGCUAAUUUCUUUUCACACACCUCUUUACUUGAUAUUACGUUGUGAGGGAUAUACAUAGCAUAACCUAAUGGAGUUCCUUCUGCGCCUGUUAACAGACACAUCACUGUCUUUUUCGCCAUAUCUGAUCCUUCUUCCAGCUCCAUGUUAGACGACAAACUCCGAUUGAAAAUAGACAAAAAGCUUGCGAUAUAGACCUUAUGAAAGUGUUAUUAAAAAUUAGUUAUACAUUGGUGAUGAAAUAUAUUUUGAAUAUUCAUUUCACAAAGAAAUAAACUAUUGAAAACAUGUUGCUUCAUUGUCUGAAAAAGUCAAAUUUUGAAGAAAAAAAAGACUAAUCAUUAGAGACCUCUAAAAUCCCAAUUGUCAACCAAAUGAAACUAACCUUAGGCCGUUAAUGAUUUAACCACAACGUUAACACGCAUGCAUGUAACCACAACGUUAAUGGUUAACAACAAGCUUACAACAACCUUAAUAAAGUGGCGAGACUUACAUCAAAGACACAAAAUCUAGAAAUGAUUGGAACUUGACUUGAAAAGAUCCAAACGCAUAAGGUUCUUCUUGUUAAUAAACAUGAACCAUUUAGAUUUUCAAUAUACUAAUACAAACUAAGACAAAUAUCUUCUCCAAUCACCACCCCAAAUCAUUACCAAACGCACAACUGUAACUAAGCAAGAAGUACAUUAGGACCAAUCUCUUAAUCGUUGUCACGGAUUGGUCGCGUGUCAAUCAAGAUCAUCAAGAUCACUUUUAUGUCUUAGUGCUUCUUCUUCUUCUUCUUCUUGUUAUUAUUAUAUUUUGGUUUCUUGAGCAAAAAGUGUUAUGUUGUGAUCUUCAUUUGCCUUAGAGACAGAUAAGCUAGGAGGCGGUAACCGAAGAUCAUGGCAACGAGUGCAACCACUUCAGUCAGUCCAUUGUCUAUUCUCAUCCCGUUGAUAGAUUGAGCAAAGUCUUUAUACUGCACUUUAAGAAGAAGCUUGUAGGUGUGGUAAUUGAAGGAUAGGUAACGUAUCCAGGAGAUGAACACCGGUAAGACCUAGGAGACAAAAAAAAGUUACCUUCAAUAUAUGUUUGAGGAUUCCUUGACCCUGCUGAGUGAUCUCCCACAUCCUUAUGGUACUAUCUUGUGAACUGCACAAUAACAUGUUAACAAGAUAAAACACCAAUAAGAAACAUUUCAGGUUAUUAUAAAAAUGUAUGUACCCUGUGUAUAUAGUUCCAUCACCACCCCAUUUGACACAGGUCACAGCUCGUGUGUGUCCACUGAGGACAAUAAGAGUUCUCUUCAGUGUAAAGUCCCAGAUCCUUGCAUCCCCAUCUUUGCCACAAGUCACAAAUCUCCUGCUUGGAUAACUAAGAUGAGCUGGUUCCCACGCGAUACCACAAAUCCACUUCUUGUGACCCUACGAAAAAUUGAAGAUCUAUCAGUAAACACACACAAAAAAAAACAUAACCAACAAAACAUUUAUAAAGUAAAGAAGAGUUUAACUGAAAGUGCAUUGCCCUGUAAUUCUCCUUUGCUUGGAUCCCAACAACAGACUUUUCCAUCUCUAUCACCGCUCACAAGACACUUUGCAUCUGGUGACCAUGCAACUGCGAGAACAUGUUCCUUGUGCCCUGAACAAACGUUACAGGAACUAUGUUUAUUACAAGAAAUCUAAAUAUAGAUAGACAUCAUUAAAAAGAAAAUCAUAAGACGUUUCGAACCUUUGCAUGUAAACAUUGGAGUUUCAGUGUUGAGAUCCCAAAGCCUUACAGUUUUAUCACCUGAACCACUUGCUAGUUGCUUACCGUCAGGGCUAAACGAAACACAGAGAAUCUCACCCUCAUGAACUAACAAAAGCCAAUCAUAAUCACUCGAACCAUCUCUUCUAAAACUCAAAUACAAAAAUCAACAUUAACUUUAACAUAUAAUAUAUAUAUACCAUCGCUUAUUGUCUGUGAGCAACGGUAAACCGGGCGAAUCCUGAAAACAGCUUGUUGUCGAUAAACAAUCUUCAAAACAUUCUCCACGGACACUAAACCACACAUGUUCAUGUCAAAACAUUAAUAAAAAAUAUACUAAGAUAAUGUUUUCUAUAGAAAACAUAAGAGACCAAACUGCUUUGCUUAUUAUUAGGGUUUUACCGCUAUUUCUCUCCAUGCAAGUUCCCACUGAGACAAGAAGCUCUUCAUCUGAUACAUAGAAGCUGUAAGAUAACUUCUCCUCCUGGAUAUUAUCAAUUUCCCAUGAAGUCAUUUCAAUAUUAGGUUCGGUAAGUAUAAUCAAUAUCAGAUUCGAAAGGAUAGAAGAAUAUACAUUGUUGAGAAACGUAUUGACCAAGUUGGUGAGCUGCAAAUGCCCUGCGUUGUGAGGGAUAUACAUAGCAGAACCUAGUGGAGUUCCUUCUGCGUCUGUUAACAGACACAUCACUGUGUUCAUCGCCAUCUCCGACGCUUCCGGCUCUAUGUUAGACGACAGACUCCGAUGGAAAAUCGACAAAGGCUUUGCCAUAUAAAUAUAAACCCUAAAAGUAAAAGUUAUUUAUUUAAGUAAAUCCUCCAAAUUAACCCUCUAUUUAUAAAUAAACCCCAAAUUUUCCUUUUGAAGUCUUAUAACCCCUAAAUUACAAUUGCCAACCUAAAUGUUUUCAUGUAACGCCGUUAAUGAUUUAACCACGACGUGGUUAACACGCAUUUAACAUUAGAGAUCUUAAACUGCAAAGGAUUUAACCACAGUGUGGUAUUUUUUUUUUGGUAAGUGGGCUUUAAUUGUUGGUUAGCAUACAACUGUCAUUCUCGGAGAUUUGGACUUUAAAGGUAGGUAGGUACAUGUGCUAGUAGUUAACAAACAAACACACACUUAACAGUAGUUCAAACGCAACAACUCAGAAACUUCAGUUUUGUGUCUUUAUCCCAUCCUCUCAACUCUCUCUAUAAAUAAGAUUUCAAGUGCAUGCAUGUCUAUCUAUAUUUCAACAUCACAAAUACAAAAGAAAGAAACUCAAAGCGACGGCCAUGGCAAAAGUUGGGGAUCUAGAGACAUGCAUCAAUAACAGAAUUAAAGAGAUCGAGGAGGAAGAAGAACGUAAUUUGAAGAUACUUAAGGAGUUGGAGACUCAGAUCAUGUCCCCAACUUAACCUUUCCAUAGUUUAAGAGCUUUAUCAAGACCACCAGAAGCUACUUUCUCACCAUCUGGACUCCAAUCCACAGCCCAAACCUUUCCAACACAACAAAAAAAACGAAAAAUUAUGAGAGAAAAGAGUGUAAAAAAAAAAAGCAAAACCAACAACUUGAGCUUUGAAGUAGUUUGAUACCUCAUCCUUAUGACCAGGGAGAUCAUGUUUUAGCUUUUUUGUUCCAAUCUCCCAUACCUGUCAAAGUCAAACAUAUUGAGGUUUAUUUGGUAGUUCUACUCUCUACUGUGUUAUCAAAUGUAAAAACAGGAUUUCACCUUGAGAGUUGAAUCUUUGCUGCAACUCAAAAGCAUCCUACUGUCAGGUGACCAACUGAUCUGAUAGACACAGUUAGCGUGGCCUCGGAAUGCUGUAAUAAAUUUUCCUGUGACACCAUCCCAUAGCUUCACAGAUUUAUCGAACGAUGCACUUGCAAUCCAUUGCCCAUUUGGUGAGAAAUACACAUGGUUUACAAGCUGUUUAUUGAGUUGACACCAAACAAAAUGUAAGAGUUCAAAAAUAAAAACAGAAACAAAAAAAAAAAAAAAAGUUUAGUAGCUAGUAGUAACCUGUUGAUGACCAGUACCAACCUGGCUGUAGUAACCAUUUUUUGUUUAGGUUGUAAGCUAACGGAUGGUUCCCAAAGGAUUAUCGUAAAAUCAUCAGAACCAGACACUAAUCUUUCAGGAGAAUCUACUUUCCCUUUUGCUUUGAUGUAUCUUUCAAGUGCAAUCUUACCACACAUAUAGGGAGAGGAUCAGAAUCAGGCUAGAAAAAGACGAGGCAAAGCCAGUAGAAUCAUCAGAAGCUUAUUGUUACCUUUUUCAUUUCUUCAUCUGAACCUGUUACUUGUCUAGUGUUGUCAAACGCUCCUGUCCGAAGAACAUAUUCUGUACUCAAUGAAAGGGAGUUCACCCAACCGGCAUGGUCCUGAAGAAGCAAGUAACUUGAGAAAUGUUAUCUUAAAGUAAAGACCUAGGAGACAAAAAAAAGUUACCUUCAAUAUAUGUUUGAGGAUUCCUUGACCCUGCUGAGUGAUCUCCCACAUCCUUAUGGUACUAUCUUGUGAACUGCACAAUAACAUGUUAACAAGAUAAAACACCAAUAAGAAACAUUUCAGGUUAUUAUAAAAAUGUAUGUACCCUGUGUAUAUAGUUCCAUCACCACCCCAUUUGACACAGGUCACAGCUCGUGUGUGUCCACUGAGGACAAUAAGAGUUCUCUUCAGUGUAAAGUCCCAGAUCCUUGCAUCCCCAUCUUUGCCACAAGUCACAAAUCUCCUGCUUGGAUAACUAAGAUGAGCUGGUUCCCACGCGAUACCACAAAUCCACUUCUUGUGACCCUACGAAAAAUUGAAGAUCUAUCAGUAAACACACACAAAAAAAAACAUAACCAACAAAACAUUUAUAAAGUAAAGAAGAGUUUAACUGAAAGUGCAUUGCCCUGUAAUUCUCCUUUGCUUGGAUCCCAACAACAGACUUUUCCAUCUCUAUCACCGCUCACAAGACACUUUGCAUCUGGUGACCAUGCAACUGCGAGAACAUGUUCCUUGUGCCCUGAACAAACGUUACAGGAACUAUGUUUAUUACAAGAAAUCUAAAUAUAGAUAGACAUCAUUAAAAAGAAAAUCAUAAGACGUUUCGAACCUUUGCAUGUAAACAUUGGAGUUUCAGUGUUGAGAUCCCAAAGCCUUACAGUUUUAUCACCUGAACCACUUGCUAGUUGCUUACCGUCAGGGCUAAACGAAACACAGAGAAUCUCACCCUCAUGAACUAACAAAAGCCAAUCAUAAUCACUCGAACCAUCUCUUCUAAAACUCAAAUACAAAAAUCAACAUUAACUUUAACAUAUAAUAUAUAUAUACCAUCGCUUAUUGUCUGUGAGCAACGGUAAACCGGGCGAAUCCUGAAAACAGCUUGUUGUCGAUAAACAAUCUUCAAAACAUUCUCCACGGACACUAAACCACACAUGUUCAUGUCAAAACAUUAAUAAAAAAUAUACUAAGAUAAUGUUUUCUAUAGAAAACAUAAGAGACCAAACUGCUUUGCUUAUUAUUAGGGUUUUACCGCUAUUUCUCUCCAUGCAAGUUCCCACUGAGACAAGAAGCUCUUCAUCUGAUACAUAGAAGCUGUAAGAUAACUUCUCCUCCUGGAUAUUAUCAAUUUCCCAUGAAGUCAUUUCAAUAUUAGGUUCGGUAAGUAUAAUCAAUAUCAGAUUCGAAAGGAUAGAAGAAUAUACAUUGUUGAGAAACGUAUUGACCAAGUUGGUGAGCUGCAAAUGCCCUGCGUUGUGAGGGAUAUACAUAGCAGAACCUAGUGGAGUUCCUUCUGCGUCUGUUAACAGACACAUCACUGUGUUCAUCGCCAUCUCCGACGCUUCCGGCUCUAUGUUCGACGACAAACUCCGAUGGAAAAUAGACAAAGGCUUUUGCGAUAUAAAUAUAAACCCUAAAAGUAAAAGUUAUUUAUUUAAGUAAAUCCUCCAAAUUAACCCUCUAUUUAUAAAUAAACCCCAAAUUUUCCUUUUGAAGUCUUAUAACCCCUAAAUUACAAUUGCCAACCUAAAUGUUUUCAUGUAACGCCGUUAAUGAUUUAACCACGACGUGGUUAACACGCAUUUAACAUUAGAGAUCUUAAACUGCAAAGGAUUUAACCACAGUGUGGUAUUUUUUUUUUGGUAAGUGGGCUUUAAUUGUUGGUUAGCAUACAACUGUCAUUCUCGGAGAUUUGGACUUUAAAGGUAGGUAGGUACAUGUGCUAGUAGUUAACAAACAAACACACACUUAACAGUAGUUCAAACGCAACAACUCAGAAACUUCAGUUUUGUGUCUUUAUCCCAUCCUCUCAACUCUCUCUAUAAAUAAGAUUUCAAGUGCAUGCAUGUCUAUCUAUAUUUCAACAUCACAAAUACAAAAGAAAGAAACUCAAAGCGACGGCCAUGGCAAAAGUUGGGGAUCUAGAGACAUGCAUCAAUAACAGAAUUAAAGAGAUCGAGGAGGAAGAAGAACGUAAUUUGAAGAUACUUAAGGAGUUGGAGACUCAGAUCAUGUCCCCAACGGAAAAAGGUCGUAGCCUUUGAUCACCUUUCUCAAACCGAUAUUGAUUAAAAAAUUCUUUCUUUUUUUUGAGAUUGAGAUUGAUAAUUUAAGAUUGAUAAUUUAGGUACGCAACAUCCGUCUACAAGUAUCAACAAGCCAAUUCUUGGGGAUGAUGUCCCAAAGGCUUCAGAUGUUGCACCCGAAGGGGGACCUUCUUUCCGCCCAAAGGGAAAGGGAAACAUGAAACCAUCUGAUGACGAUGAUGAGAAGAAGACCAAUGAAGGAAAGAGCAGCAAGUCUGGUGGUGUGGAUGAUGCCUAAUGAAGCAGCCGUC
rnacentral:lncRNA from 1 species